UCUCCAAAUAAGCCAUAACUCUCGCUUGGAUUCUCGAGCCGAAAGGAUUUUUCGCAGCAAGUCUUCCUUUUCUGUAAUUUCGUGACGUAUACCACAGUCAGCUGAAAAUGUCGACGUCUCCAGAUCACCUGAAUUCAGCGAGGAAAAGGCUGGUAGAGGCCCUUGGCUCGGAGAAGAAGCAGAAGUAUUUCCAUCACAUGAAGCAGUGGUUUAGAAUGAAGCUGUCGAAGGAGGAAUUUGACUCAUUAGCAAGAGAACUUCUUGCGAUUGAUUCUGUACACCUGCACAACGAGUUCCUCUUAGCCAUCUUAACAAAGUGCCAACUCUUUAGCUCAUCUUCCUCUACCUCACGUUCCGAGUCAUACCAUAGGCAUGAAGAGCAGAGAGUGGACACAGGACAAGGCACCUCCAACAUGCGGGACCACAAUACAUCUCUUAACAUAUACUCGGCUCCAGCUGUCGAGCGCAAAAAGAUUAAACCCAAGAAAAAGAACAAAGUUUCACGACCAACACAUGAUGGUAAUUUUGAGCCAGUAACAGUCCAAGACACAGCCCCCACGGCCACCCUACGUGAGCCCCAGGCCAUCAUAGACUCAGGGGCUGGCUACCUUUCCCGUUCCUUGUGCCUGCUGGAUACAGGGCCCCUCAAAGGUCGUUUGUUGUUGGCAGCAUGGGACCACGGCAUCACGCAAGUAGGGGACAAUGUUGCCAACAUUCUGCAAGAGGCCACUCAGCAAUGUCUGAAGAACAUCCUGAUGGCGACGGUGAGCAGACGUCGUGGGUAUCGCAUGAGAGAAGGGCGUUUCAUUCAUUCCCUGGGCACAACGCCUCCGAACCCCUGGCUGAGGAACACUGCGUCGCUCAAUGACUGGACGAAUGAGAGCCUGGGCCUCCCAAUGGGUGAGGGGGGGGAGCUGGGUGACCGACCCAUCUGGCCGACUGUGGACUCGGCAGACCAGAACGCAGCACACCUGGCUUCCUGUGCUCUCCCAGUUGAGAAUCCUCUCCCUCCAAUCAAUUGCUUCGACUUGUUUGAGGCAUUGCAGGUCCAGAAGAGUGUGCUUCCAUGCCACUCGGUGUAUGCACUAGGCCUGGAGCGCAUUUCCUCAAGGCUUUGGCACCCUAGCUGGGGCGAGGUGGAGCAGGAGGCCAUUGCAGCCCAGGAGGCUUCCCUCAGAGACACGCUGAAGGAGCACCGGCUGGCGGCCAAUCCUGUCUCGUAGCUGUGUCAGGUUGGUUGGUCUGGCAGUCAGUCUUUGUUCUUGGGCCUUCCUUCAGACGGGUACCUGUUCCUCAGUUGGAUGUUUAGGAUGUUCAUACGCUGCUAAGAAAGCAUGGCAUUAUUUUACAUACACAGAUACUGUGAAUGUCAAGAAUGUAUAAAAAAAAAUUUCAGCAUCCAUCACUGUCUCUCUCUCUCUCUCUCUCUCUCUCUCUCUCUCUCUCUCUCUCUCUCUCUCUCUCUCUCUCUCUCUCUCUCUCUCUCUCUGUUGCAUUUCUUAUUUAUAAUGUUCAAACCACAGUAUUAGACCUUGAGUGAACAUGCAAAGAGAACACCUUUCACAUAUCUUUUUCUGUGUAUAUUUAUUAAUAAAUAAGAUUUUUAAAAAUUUAGGUCAAUACCAUUUAAUACCUGUUGUAGGUGACCAAGAAAGUCAUAGUAAAAGAAAUGAGAGAAAAUAGAAAUGUUUCAUUGUUUAUAAGCACCCUUAAAAUUGUAUGAUACCCUCCCCCCCCCCCACACACACACUUUAUCACAAAGUAUGAUUUCUCGAAAUGCUGCUAUUGUAAACAAGUUUGAGUGUACUACAAAAAAUUAUUAUAUAACUCAGGGGAUUCCAGGAAAGAAAUAAUUAAUGGAUUGAAAAACCUUACCUGUUGAGCAUUCCUAAAUAAAUAUCAUUCUUAUCAUCUGGUAAAAAAUUACAUUGUUUUUUUUGGUAUAGUUAAUAAUUUUGAGUUUGUAGUCUAGCCUACAAUUCAGCCACACUGCAGAUGGCAUGUAGUGAUGUCAUAGAUAUUUAUAGCCAACUUCAGCCGUACUGCAGAAGGAGUUUGGACUUG